rnacentral:lncRNA from 1 species
UAAUUUAGUUCUAUCACAUACUUUCUACAAGACUUAAUUUCAUGAGAUAGUCUUUGAAUAAUAGGAAAGAUUGGUUUGAGUUUGAUCCUUGAAAGGUAUUAUACUAUUCUGUGUAGGUGCUUAGAUAAUUCAUGAAUUGUAUCAUGUCUAUGUGCUUAGAUAAGUUGUUGGACCUAAAAUGAUAGUGUGUAUUAGAUUUGAUAUCAUCAAUGCUAC